GCGAGCGGAGUGACAAGGAAACUGUCACGCUCCGUUCUGGGAGGGGCGAUUGGAAAAGUGCUGUCUUCGGAUAGUAACUCGUUGGUCGCCUACUCUAC
rfam:Desulfosporosinus sp. I2 contig00149, whole genome shotgun sequence.